rnacentral:lncRNA from 1 species
GAGACCAACAUGGAAGAGCAUAAGAAGACAGCGGAAACCGGCAAAGCAGAGCCUGCUCCGGUAGCCAUUGCAGGAGAAGGAGCAAUAUCCUGUGCCAUGGUCCCGGACACAACAAACAUGGCCACAGCAAAUAUUGCCAACACAAUGUGAGCUGCAGAGGUCCCAAUCCGAGCCAUUGGCACUAAUUACAACACUAUUCACCCACUUACGAGACCCAGAGACGAGAGAGAUGGGGAAAUUGAGAAUAGAAAGGUUGUUU